UACGUAGGUGGCGAGCGUUGUCCGGAUUUACUGGGCGUAAAGAGCGCGCAGGCGGUCGUUCAAGUCGCGUGUGAAAGCCCCCGGCUCAACUGGGGAGGGUCACGCGAUACUGAUCGACUCGAAGGCAGGAGAGGGAAGUGGAAUUCCCGGUGUAGUGGUGAAAUGCGUAGAUAUCGGAAGGAACAUCAGUGGCGAAAGCGACUUCCUGGACCAAUACUGACGCUCAUGUGCGAAAGCGUGGGGAGCAAACAGG
rnacentral:rRNA from 1 species